rnacentral:rRNA from 1 species
GAUGAACGCUGGCGGCGUGCCUAAUACAUGCAAGUCGAGCGAACAGACGAGGAGCUUGCUCCUCUGACGUUAGCGGCGGACGGGUGAGUAACACGUGGAUAACCUACCUAUAAGACUGGGAUAACUUCGGGAAACCGGAGCUAAUACCGGAUAAUAUAUUGAACCGCAUGGUUCAAUAGUGAAAGACGGUUUUGCUGUCACUUAUAGAUGGAUCCGCGCCGCAUUAGCUAGUUGGUAAGGUAACGGCUUACCAAGGCAACGAUGCGUAGCCGACCUGAGAGGGGGAUCGGCCACACUGGAACUGAGACAAGGUCCAGAACCCUACGGGAGGCAGCAGGAGGGAAUUCUCCGCAAAGGGCGAAAGCUUGACGGAGCAACGGCGCGGGAGUGAAGAAGGUCUUCGGAUCCGAAAACUCUGUUAUUUGGGAAGAAAAAAUGUGGAAGGAAAUAUGCACGGCUUGACGGUACCUAAUCAGAAAGGCACGGCUAACUACGGG